rnacentral:rRNA from 1 species
GACAGAGGGUGCAACGUUGUUCGGAAUUAUUGGGCGUAAAGAGCUCGUAGGCGGCCUGUUGCGUCCGCGUGUGAAAGCCCGGGGCUUAACCCCGGGUCGCGUGGAUACGGGCAGGCGUAGAGGUAGGUGAGGGGAGAAGUGGAAUUCCCGGUGUAGCGGUGAAAUGCGCAGAUAUCGGGAGGAACACCGGUGGCGAAGGCGGUUCUCUGGGCCUUACCUGA